rnacentral:rRNA from 1 species
GACGAACGCUGGCGGCGUGCCUAAUACAUGCAAGUCGAGCGGAACUGGGGGAGCUUGCUCCUUCCAGUUUAGCGGCGGACGGGUGAGUAACACGUGGGCAACCUGCCCUGCAGAUCGGGAUAACUCCGGGAAACCGGUGCUAAUACCGAAUAGUUUGGCGCCUCUCCUGAGGCGCUACGGAAAGACGGUUUCGGCUGUCACUGCAGGAUGGGCCCGCGGCGCAUUAGCUAGUUGGUGGGGUAACGGCCCACCAAGGCGACGAUGCGUAGCCGCCCGGGGAGGGUGACCGGCCACACUGGGACUGAGACACGGCCCAGACUCCUACGGGAGGCAGCAGUAGGGUAUCUUCCGCAAUGGACGCAAGUCUGACGGAGCAACGCCGCGUGAGUGACGAAGGUUUUCGGAUCGUAAAACUCUGUUGUGAGGGAAGAACACGUACCAACUAACUAUUGGUACCUUGACGGUACCUCGCCAGAAAGCCACGGCUAACUACAUGCCAGCCGCCGCCGUAA